UACGUAGGGGGCAAGCGUUGUCCGGAUUUAUUGGGCGUAAAGAGCGUGUAGGCGGCCAUACAGGUCAGCUGUGAAAACUCGAGGCUCAACCUCGAGACGUCGGUUGAAACCGUAUGGCUAGAGUCCGGAAGAGGAGAGUGGAAUUCCCGGUGUAGCGGUGAAAUGCGCAGAUAUCGGGAAGAACACCCGUGGCGAAGGCGGCUCACUGGACCGGUUCUGACGCUGAAGCGCGAAAGCGUGGGGAGCAAACGGG
rnacentral:rRNA from 1 species